ACCCCAAGACCAUAAAUGAACAUGGCAGGACUAGGUUAUCGGGUGUGAGCCUGAUAAACAAGAAUAUGCUUUAAUCAACUUUUCAAAACAUGUUAUCCCCAAAAUAAAAACACAAAACUCUCAUACAGAACUCCAGAUCCGGGGGAUUACAUCCGAAGACCCCUUGGACCUGGUGUAAGAGACCUGUGCUAGAAGGAACCUUGGACAGAGCAGAGGGAAGAGAGGGAUUCUCCACCACCACACCAAGAUGGUGCCGCAGAGAUUUCUGAGGGCAGCCCAGAAACCUCCAGGGAGUCUUACGUCUAUUCGGAGAUCUUUCACCUGUGGAAUUUUGACAAGCAGGAUCCCAGAUCCAGUAACAAGAAGAAAUCAAAGCCUGGCCUUAUGCCCUCGACACCUCCACAACUUUGCCAACCUUUCCUACUACAUCUUCUAGUCAAAGACCCUGACGGCAGCAUAAUAUUGUGGAAAAGGAACACACUCUGGG
rnacentral:lncRNA from 1 species